GAUGAACGCUGGCGGCGUGCCUAAUACAUGCAAGUCGAGCGAACAGAUGAGGAGCUUGCUCCUCUGACGUUAGCGGCGGACGGGUGAGUAACACGUGGAUAACCUACCUAUAAGACUGGGAUAACUUCGGGAAACCGGAGCUAAUACCGGAUAAUAUAUUGAACCGCAUGGUUCAAUAGUGAAAGACGGUUUUGCUGUCACUUAUAGAUGGAUCCGCGCCGCAUUAGCUAGUUGGUAAGGUAACGGCUUACCAAGGCAACGAUGCGUAGCCGACCUGAGAGAGGUGCGGGCCACACGGGAACUGAGCCACGGUCCAGACUCCUCCGGGAAGAAGCAGUAGGGAAUCUUCCGCAAUGGGCGAAAGCCUGACGGAGCAACGCCGCGUGAGUGAUGAAGGUCCUCGGAUCGUAAAACUCUGUUAUUAGGGAAGAACAAAUGUGUAAGUAACUAUGCACGUCUUGACGGUACCUAAUCAGAAAGCCACGGCUAACUACGUG
rnacentral:rRNA from 1 species